GGGUUGUGAGGUUAAGCGACUAAGCGUACACGGUGGAUGCCCUGGCAGUCAGAGGCGAUGAAGGGCGUGCUAAUCUGCGAUAAGCGCCGGUAAGGUGAUAUGAACCGUUAUAACCGGCGAUACCCGAAUGGGGAAACCCAGUGUGACUCGUCACACUAUCAUUAACUGAAUCCAUAGGUUAAUGAGGCGAACCGGGGGAACUGAAACAUCUAAGUACCCCGAGGAAAAGAAAUCAACCGAGAUUCCCCCAGUAGCGGCGAGCGAACGGGGAGGAGCCCAGAGCCUGAAUCAGCAUGUGUGUUAGUGGAAGCGUCUGGAAAGGCGCGCGAUACAGGGUGACAGCCCCGUACACAAAAGCGCAUGUGCUGUGAGCUCGAUGAGUAGGGCGGGACACGUGGUAUCCUGUCUGAAUAUGGGGGGACCAUCCUCCAAGGCUAAAUACUCCUGACUGACCGAUAGUGAACCAGUACCGUGAGGGAAAGGCGAAAAGAACCCCGGCGAGGGGAGUGAAAAAGAACCUGAAACCGUGUACGUACAAGCAGUGGGAGCACCCUUUGGGGUGUGACUGCGUACCUUUUGUAUAAUGGGUCAGCGACUUAUAUUCUGUAGCAAGGUUAACCGAAUAGGGGAGCCGGAGGGAAACCGAGUCUUAAUUGGGCGUUAAGUUGCAGGGUAUAGACCCGAAACCCGGUGAUCUAGCCAUGGGCAGGUUGAAGGUUGGGUAACACUAACUGGAGGACCGAACCGACUAAUGUUGAAAAAUUAGCGGAUGACCUGUGGCUGGGGGUGAAAGGCCAAUCAAACCGGGAGAUAGCUGGUUCUCCCCGAAAGCUAUUUAGGUAGCGCCUCGUGAAUUCAUCUCCGGGGGUAGAGCACUGUUUCGGCUAGGGGGCCAUCCCGGCUUACCAACCCGAUGCAAACUGCGAAUACCGGAGAAUGUUAUCACGGGAGACACACGGCGGGUGCUAACGUCCGUCGUGAAGAGGGAAACAACCCAGACCGCCAGCUAAGGUCCCAAAGUCAUGGUUAAGUGGGAAACGAUGUGGGAAGGCCCAGACAGCCAGGAUGUUGGCUUAGAAGCAGCCAUCAUUUAAAGAAAGCGUAAUAGCUCACUGGUCGAGUCGGCCUGCGCGGAAGAUGUAACGGGGCUAAACCAUGCACCGAAGCUGCGGCAGCGACACUUAGGUGUUGUUGGGUAGGGGAGCGUUCUGUAAGCCUGUGAAGGUGGCCUGUGAGGGUUGCUGGAGGUAUCAGAAGUGCGAAUGCUGACAUAAGUAACGAUAAAGCGGGUGAAAAGCCCGCUCGCCGGAAGACCAAGGGUUCCUGUCCAACGUUAAUCGGGGCAGGGUGAGUCGACCCCUAAGGCGAGGCCGAAAGGCGUAGUCGAUGGGAAACGGGUUAAUAUUCCCGUACUUGGUGUUACUGCGAAGGGGGGACGGAGAAGGCUAUGUUGGCCGGGCGACGGUUGUCCCGGUUUAAGCGUGUAGGUGUGUGUUCCAGGUAAAUCCGGUUCACUUUAACACUGAGGCGUGAUGACGAGGCACUACGGUGCUGAAGCAACAAAUGCCCUGCUUCCAGGAAAAGCCUCUAAGCAUCAGGUAACAUCAAAUCGUACCCCAAACCGACACAGGUGGUCAGGUAGAGAAUACCAAGGCGCUUGAGAGAACUCGGGUGAAGGAACUAGGCAAAAUGGUGCCGUAACUUCGGGAGAAGGCACGCUGACACGUAGGUGAAGUGAUUUACUCACGGAGCUGAAGUCAGUCGAAGAUACCAGCUGGCUGCAACUGUUUAUUAAAAACACAGCACUGUGCAAACACGAAAGUGGACGUAUACGGUGUGACGCCUGCCCGGUGCCGGAAGGUUAAUUGAUGGGGUCAGCGCAAGCGAAGCUCCUGAUCGAAGCCCCGGUAAACGGCGGCCGUAACUAUAACGGUCCUAAGGUAGCGAAAUUCCUUGUCGGGUAAGUUCCGACCUGCACGAAUGGCGUAAUGAUGGCCAGGCUGUCUCCACCCGAGACUCAGUGAAAUUGAACUCGCUGUGAAGAUGCAGUGUACCCGCGGCAAGACGGAAAGACCCCGUGAACCUUUACUAUAGCUUGACACUGAACAUUGAGCCUUGAUGUGUAGGAUAGGUGGGAGGCUUUGAAGUGUGGACGCCAGUCUGCAUGGAGCCGACCUUGAAAUACCACCCUUUAAUGUUUGAUGUUCUAACGUGGACCCGUAAUCCGGGUUGCGGACAGUGUCUGGUGGGUAGUUUGACUGGGGCGGUCUCCUCCUAAAGAGUAACGGAGGAGCACGAAGGUUGGCUAAUCCUGGUCGGACAUCAGGAGGUUAGUGCAAUGGCAUAAGCCAGCUUGACUGCGAGCGUGACGGCGCGAGCAGGUGCGAAAGCAGGUCAUAGUGAUCCGGUGGUUCUGAAUGGAAGGGCCAUCGCUCAACGGAUAAAAGGUACUCCGGGGAUAACAGGCUGAUACCGCCCAAGAGUUCAUAUCGACGGCGGUGUUUGGCACCUCGAUGUCGGCUCAUCACAUCCUGGGGCUGAAGUAGGUCCCAAGGGUAUGGCUGUUCGCCAUUUAAAGUGGUACGCGAGCUGGGUUUAGAACGUCGUGAGACAGUUCGGUCCCUAUCUGCCGUGGGCGCUGGAGAACUGAGGGGGGCUGCUCCUAGUACGAGAGGACCGGAGUGGACGCAUCACUGGUGUUCGGGUUGUCAUGCCAAUGGCACUGCCCGGUAGCUAAAUGCGGAAGAGAUAAGUGCUGAAAGCAUCUAAGCACGAAACUUGCCCCGAGAUGAGUUCUCCCUGAGACUUAGAGUCUCCUGAAGGAACGUUGAAGACGACGACGUUGAUAGGCCGGGUGUGUAAGCGCAGCGAUGCGUUGAGCUAACCGGUACUAAUGAACCGUGAGGCUUAACCUUACAACGCCGAAG
rnacentral:rRNA from 1 species